rnacentral:piRNA from 1 species
UAAGAUCGCAGUUGAACAUUU